GCCCUUCCGAAUUCGUCGACAACAGAGUUUGAUCCUGGCUCAGAACGAACGCUGGCGGCAGGCUUAACACAUGCAAGUCGAGCGAGGCGAAGAAACUUAGGUUUCGGAGCUUAGCGGCGGACGGGUGAGUAACACGUGGGAACGUGCCCUUCAGUACGGAAUAGCCUGGGGAAACCCGGAGUAAUACCGUAUGCGCCCUCAGGGGGAAAGAUUUAUCGCUGAAAGGAUCNGCCCGCGCCUGAUNANGUAGUUGGUANGGUAACNGCCUA
rnacentral:rRNA from 1 species